rnacentral:misc_RNA from 1 species
GUUUCAAAAUACUGAAAUUGUCAACCUAUUAUCGUUUAGCUGCACGAGGACCUGAAUAUGUUCUAAAGCAGAUGCAGAGGAAAAAUCAAGAAGUAAAUGUUGGCACAUAACUGGAAAUUUGGAAAUCAGUUGCAGGGAUCAAAAGCAGUGGAGAUGGGGUUCAGUACAGUGUUCAUGAUGUUGGAAUAUGACAUGCAUAGCUAUUGAAAUUCUAAUUGGCAAAUCUAUUUUGAGAGUCUUUGUAAUCUACACAUUUUCUGCAAUACAAUGGGAAGAGAUAAGGCUUCCUCCCAAUCUAUCUCAUGCUACGGCAUCAUCAGCAAUUCUUGUUGGAGUCCUAGGUAAAAAAUAUGGAAAAUGUGUAACAGUUCUUCUAUAUGUUCUUGUCCUGGAGCAAGCAACUUAUCAAAUUCUUUGUCUCACAACGCAAGGAAGUGGCUCUACCAUAAGAUUUUCAGCCAUAGCCACUAAUAAUAGAUUGUCAAGCAAUGCGGAAACUGGCCUGAGUCUCAAUAUUCCAUUCACGAUAUGCAAGUUUAAUUUGAAUUGGACACAUAUUUGCCAAUUUUAGAAGUAAUAUUUUAGCAUCAUAUCAUAUACUUUCCAAUAAAAG